rnacentral:tRNA from 1 species
UUCCUGGUGGCUCAGACGGUAAAGCGUCUGUUUGCAAUGCAGGAGACCCAGGUUCGAUCCCUGGUUUGGGAA